UUAGUGAAAGUUAGGGUUAGCUAUAACAAAAUUGUAUACCCUACUUCGUUCUCGUCGUUAAAAGAUGUUAACACAUCCGAAAAGAUGCCUAGCGCACUUGUAGGAGAAGUUAAACGCGAUAAGUUCAGAUCCGCCUGGGGAGUCCCAGCCGCACGGUUAAAAUCUCAAAUUGAAAUUGACGGGGGCCCGCACAAGCGGUGGAGCAGGUGGUGUUAAUUUGAUGCAACGCGAAGAACCUUACCUACUCUUGACAUCCUGCGAAUUCGGUAGAGAUACCUUAGUGCCUUCGGGAACGCAGAGACAGGUGCUGCAUGGCUGUCGUCAGCUCGUGUUGUGAAAUGUUGGGUUAAGUCCCGUAACGAGCGCAACCCUUGUCCUUAUUUGCCAGCGCGUAAUGGCGGGAACUCUAAGGAGACUGCCGGUGACAAACCGGAGGAAGGUGGGGACGACGUCAAGUCAUCAUGGCCCUUACGAGUAGGGCUACACACGUGCUACAAUGGUCGGUACAAAGGGUUGCCAACUCGCGAGAGUGAGCCAAUCCCGAAAAGCCGAUCUCAGUCCGGAUCGGAGUCUGCAACUCGACUCCGUGAAGUCGGAAUCGCUAGUAAUCGUAGAUCAGAAUGCUACGGUGAAUACGUUCCCGGGCCUUGUACACACCGCCCGUCACACCAUGGGAGUGGACUGCACCAGAAGUGGUUAGCC
rnacentral:rRNA from 1 species